GAAAUGCGAUAAGUAAUGUGAAUUGCAGAAUUCCGUGAAUCAUCGAAUCUUUGAACGCACAUUGCGCCCUCUGGUAUUCCGGGGGGCAUGCCUGUCCGAGCGUCAUUGCGAACCCCUCAAGCACGGCUUGUGUGAUGGGCCCUCCCGCGUCUUGAUCGUCAAGACGGGCCCGAAAUGCAGUGGCGGCACCGUGUCCGGUCCUCGAGCGUAUGGGGCUUUGUCACCCGCUCGAUUAGGGCCGGCCGGGCGCCAGCCGGCGUCUCCAACCUUAUUUUUCUCAGGUUGACCUCGGAUCAGGUAGGGAUACCCGCUGAACUUAAGC
rnacentral:misc_RNA from 1 species